UAUGGAAGGGCCAUCGCUCAACGGAUAAAAGGUACUCCGGGGAUAACAGGCUGAUACCGCCCAAGAGUUCACAUCGACGGCGGUGUUUGGCACCUCGAUGUCGGCUCAUCACAUCCUGGGGCUGAAGCCGGUCCCAAGGGUAUGGCUGUUCGCCAUUUAAAGUGGUACGCGAGCUGGGUUUAGAACGUCGUGAGACAGUUCGGUCCCUAUCUGCCGUGGGUGUUGGAUACUUGAGAGGAGCUGUCCCUAGUACGAGAGGACCGGGAUGGACGCACCUCUGGUGGACCUGUUGUUGCGCCAGCAGCAUAGCAGGGUAGCUAAGUGCGGAAAGGAUAACCGCUGAAAGCAUCUAAGCGGGAAGCCCCCCUCAAAACCAGGUAUCCCUAUCAGAGCCGUGGAAGACCACCACGUUGAUAGGCUGGAAGUGGAAGCGUAGCGAUACGUGAAGCGGACCAGUACUAAUUGCUCGAUCGGCUUGAU
rnacentral:rRNA from 1 species